GGAUGAACGCUAGCUACAGGCUUAACACAUGCAAGUCGAGGGGAAACGAUAGAGAAAGCUUGCUUUUUCUAGGCGUCGACCGGCGCACGGGUGAGUAACGCGUAUCCAACCUGCCCAUCACUUGGGGAUAACCUUGCGAAAGUAAGACUAAUACCCAAUGAUAUCUCUAGAAGACAUCUGAAAGRGAUUAAAGAUUUAUCGGUGAUGGAUGGGGAUGCGUCUGAUUAGCUUGUUGGCGGGGUAACGGCCCACCAAGGCGACGAUCAGUAGGGGUUCUGAGAGGAAGGUCCCCCACAUUGGAACUGAGACACGGUCCAAACUCCUACGGGAGGCAGCAGUGAGGAAUAUUGGUCAAUGGRCGAGAGUCUGAACCAGCCAAGUAGCGUGCAGGAUGACGGCCCUAUGGGUUGUAAACUGCUUUUAUARGGGAAUAAAGUGAGCCACGUGUGGCUUUUUGCAUGUACCYUAUGAAUAAGGACCGGCUAAUUCCGUGCCAGCAGCCGCGGUAAUACGGAAGGUCCGGGCGUUAUCCGGAUUUAUUGGGUUUAAAGGGAGCGUAGGCCGGAGAUUAAGCGUGUUGUGAAAUGUAGAUGCUCAACAUCUGCACUGCAGCGCGAACUGGUUUCCUUGAGUACGCACAAAGGUGGGCGGAAUUCGUGGUGUAGCGGUGAAAUGCUUAGAUAUCACGAAGAACUCCGAUUGCGAAGGCAGCUCACUGGAGCGCAACUGACGCUGAAGCUCGAAAGUGCGGGUAUCGAACAGGAUUAGAUACCCUGGUAGUCCGCGCACGGUAAACGAUGGAUGCCCGCUGUUGGUCUGAAUAGGUCAGCGGCCAAGCGAAAGCAUUAAGCAUCCCACCUGGGGAGUACGCCGGCAACGGUGAAACUCAAAGGAAUUGACGGGGGACCGACUGGAUUGUGCCUGGACGCUGAGACACGCAACAGAGGAUAGGCAAGGCACACAG
rnacentral:rRNA from 1 species